AAAGUCGUAACAAGGUUUCCGUAGGUGAACCUGCGGAAGGAUCAUUACCGUGGAGAUGCGUCUCCAUUGAGAUAGCACCCUAUGUUCAAGAGUACCCUCUGUUUCCUCGGCAGGCUCGUCUGCCGCUAGGACCCACUCGAAACCCUCCGUAGUAGCAGUAUCCUCAGUAAUCUACCCAAUAUCAAAACUUUCAACAACGGAUCUCUUGGUUCUG
rnacentral:misc_RNA from 1 species